AGGUGUGGAUAGCGGAGAAAUUCCAAUCGAACCCGGAGAUAGCUGGUUCUCCUCGAAAUAGCUUUAGGGCUAGCCUCGUUUUAGUCUGGUGGAGGUAGAGCACUGAAUUCCCAAGGGGGCGUCAAAGCUUACUAAGGGAUAUCAAACUCCGAAUGCCAUACAGAUGAUGAACGGGAGUCAGACUAUACGAGAUAAGUUGGAUAGUCAAAAGGGAAAGAGCCCAGACCCGCAGCUAAGGUCCCAAAGUGCAUGUUAAGUGGAAAAGGAUGUGGGAUCUCUAAGACAACUAGGAUGUUGGCUCAGAAGCAGCCAUUCAUUCAAAGAGUGCGUAACAGCUCACUAGUCGAGAGGUCCUGCGCCGAAAAUGUCCGGGGCUAAAACAUGCCACCGAAGCUUGGGAAUGACAUAGUCAUUGGUAGAGGAGCAUUCUUAACGCGAAGAAGCAGUACCGGAAGGAGCUGUGGAGUGCUAAGAAGAGAGAAUGCCGGAAUGAGUAGCGAGAACAAGGUGAGAAUCCUUGUGGCCGAAUAUCCAAGGUCUCCAGGGUAAAGCUGAUCUGCCCUGGGAAAGUCGGGACCUAAGGUGAGGCUGAAAAGCGUAGCCGAUGGACAACAGGUUGAUAUUCCUGUACCGCAUGGUAACAGAACUGUGGGGACACGGGAGGGAAACAUGGGCCGGAAAUGGAAAGUCCGGUACAAACGGGGUAGUCGCACAGCAGGCAAAUCCGCUGUGCAUGAGACGAAGCCGUGAUGUGGAGCGAACUAAAGUAGUGAAGCAUGUGCCCCCUCCUGUCGAGAAAAGCCGCUAUUGUUUGCCAUGCGCCCGUACCGUAAACCGACACAGGUGGAUGAGGAGAGAAUCCUAAGGCCGGCGGGAGAAGCAUUGUCAAGGAACUCGGCAAAAUGACCCCGUAACUUCGGGAGAAGGGGUGCCCACGCAAGUGGGCCGCAGAGAAUAGGCCCAAGCAACUGUUUAGCAAAAACACAGGUCUAUGCAAAACCGAAAGGUGAGGUAUAUGGGCUGACGCCUGCCCGGUGCUGGAAGGUUAAGGGGAGUGGUCAGGAAACGAAGCCACGAACUUAAGCCCCAGUAAACGGCGGCCGUAACAAUAACGGUCCUAAGGUAGCGAAAUUCCUUGUCGGGUAAGUUCC
rnacentral:rRNA from 1 species